CUACCGGUGCCCGGGCCGGAUUAUUCGAAUCCCCUCAGCGGUGAACACAACGCUCAGGCUGGUUCCGCCAAGCUAUCUGUGCCUAUUUCUCUGGAGACUUACUGCGGGGACACCAGACCGUCUUCAUCGUCGUAUGUGACAGUACACUUGGGGCCUGUAUUUGGAAUAAGAAAGCCUUGCUGUUUUCUGACUGGAGAGAAGGAAGAUAAGACUCCUCUGGAUUUCCUAAGGAAUUUUGUCUGGACGCUUUGUUACCGUGGCUAUUGAAUUCAUCAGCUGGGGUAUAUAUGUGCACCAGGGCCUCCCGCUCCUUCUAUUCCGGUUAGAGCCAGUUUCCAGUAUUCUGUGAAGGGAGUCGU
ensembl:lncRNA